UCUUCAUUCUUGUUGAUCUGUGCAUUUAACCUUUUGAUUUUCUGGAUUUUGUUGAAUUCAGUUAGAAAAAAAGUUUCUGGAAUUGAAUUUGAUCGAUUUAUGACGUGGGUAUUAUAAUUAUUGGUCUAUUGAUUCGAGAGUUUUAAGAAAGUUGGAAACUUGCAAUUGCGGUUCUUCAUCUGGGUAGAUCUAGAUCCCGAGUAUCAUGUUGAGAACAGAGCAUUUGGUUUACAUUUGAGUAAGCUUUAGUUACUAUUUGUUAAGCUCUUGAUCCUGGCUCUUGAUCCUGGCUCUUCCUUCUUGGAGCUCUCUCAGGUUUUGCAUUCUUGACCUCAUUGUUCAUUGACGAUUAAUGUUGAGUGAGAGAAGUGUCUAAUAAGAGGAGAGCAUUGUUGAAUGUAGUUACAGAGCUUUAUUGAUUGCUUCCCACUGGAAAUUGAUUUAUCAUUUGUGUUUUUAACUGUUUCUACACUCUGAAUAUUUUUGAUCUCUUUGCUUACUGGAUAUGAAUAUACUUUUUGAAGCUUGCAGGACAUGAACUGUAGCCAUUACCAUCAGGCGGCAUCAUCACAGGGAUAGGACCAAUCCAUGGUCAUCUCUGUAUGUUCAUGGCAAACGACCCCACAGUUAAAGGAAGCUGUGAAAAGGAACCAAAGUAGAAACAAGCUUUUGCUUAGAGAAAGGAUUGAUAAGCUUCUUGAUCCUGGUUCUUCCUUCUUGGAGCUCUCUCAGGUUUCUAGACUCCUGGUAAAUGGAUCAAGACUCUGCUUCUCGGGAAGAAGUCACCAAAGUCUAAUCUGGCUGUGUCGGUGAAGGAUGGUUUUUCCAAGUUAUCCCUUGAUCCUCCUCUUGUGCCUUCUUCACAACCGGAUACUGCUUCAACUGCUCAAAAUGUAGUGGUUGACCCAAGCAACGGUGAUGACUUUCUGUGAGUUCUCUCUUCAUCUUUAACAGUCUCGUCUCUGCCCCCAUGUAAGCGUUUGUCUGCUGAUAUAAGCAUUUGUCUGCUUUGCUUUAGAGAGUUAAUGAAAGUAUCGUCCUUGUAUUGAUUAAGAAGACUAUAGUUUCACUGAUUAGGCUUUGUCAGAUUCGUUAAGAGAUUUGUAAUUGCUAUAUCACUUGAUGGAAA